rnacentral:rRNA from 1 species
GAUGAACGCUGGCGGCGUGCCUAAUACAUGCAAGUCGAGCGAACGGACGAGAAGCUUGCUUCUCUGAUGUUAGCGGCGGACGGGUGAGUAACACGUGGAUAACCUACCUAUAAGACUGGGAUAACUUCGGGAAGCCGGAGCUAAUACCGGAUAAUAUUUUGAACCGCAUGGUUCAAAAGUGAAAGACGGUCUUGCUGUCACUUAUAGAUGGAUCCGCGCUGCAUUAGCUAGUUGGUAAGGUAACGGCUUACCAAGGCAACGAUGCAUAGCCGACCUGAGAGGGUGAUCGGCCACACUGGAACUGAGACACGGUCCAGACUCCUACGGGAGGCAGCAGUAGGGAAUCUUCCGCAAAGGGCGAAAGCCUGACGGAGCAACGCCGCGUGAGUGAUGAAGGUCUUCGGAUCGUAAAACUCUGUUAUUAGGGAAGAACAUAUGUGUAAGUAACUGUGCACAUCUUGACGGUACCUAAUCAGAAAGCCACGGCUAACUACGUG